GAUCGUCCACAAGUGGGAUCUGGGCUCAACUACGAUCGUCUUUUGUUACAAUUCACCUGUCCGACCCUCCUCCAACCUCAAGGUUUCGUUUCUUAUAUCGUAAACACCGAGUGGGAGUAGUUUCUUCCAUCUUUUUCUAAUAAUUAGAAGAAUAUAUGGAAGAUGUCUUGAAGCAAGAAUAUAAUCCAAAGAGUGUGUAAAACACAGGAAGAGCAUGAGGAGUGACAAGGUGCCACUGAGCUGAAUGUGAGCGAGGAGACCUGCUCCACUCGGCCACGACACAUAACAACAGCAGGUCUUAUGCUCGUCACCAUGGAUCGCCUCAACUCUAGCCAACUUGCGUACAUGAGAGAUGAGUGUGAUUAUUCCCUGAAGAUGUAUACAGGCGCCGAGAACAAUAAAGAAACGCAACACAUCACUCCGCACAUUGCAGCUCACAAAUCCUCACUGACGCCUACUUCUUCAGCUUCUUCCCUGUCUUCUGUGGCACUGUCUGGGUUUGGUAGUCCACAAGACCUGGCUCAUCCACACUUAUCUUCUCAUAAAAUAGGAUUGAGUGGUCACAUCCCUACCUACAGAGCUGGCAUACAUGUGCCUCACCAGUCUGUAGUGAAGGGUGUUGACCACGAUGGACCCUUGCUGUUGCCUCGGUAUGCUCACACUAACCUUUCAACCCACUUCUCCAAAAGUGCCCCACAAGAUUUGUCAGCACAUUCUACAGCAGGUGCAAAUAAAGCAGUUCCUCUGGAGUUGACACCUCACACAUCUCACCACAAACCACUGUCUCACAUUCAGCCAGCUGUGAGCCAAGGUAUGAGCAGUAAUCCAGCUGGGACACUUAUGCCAGCACAUCAGGCUGACAGAGGCUCCGCAUAUUAUCGUGUUCCAGAUUCCGUUAUAAACGUCCAGGGCCCGUCUGCUGUGUUGGUAUCUUCUGUUGGAGGGGACGGGGGUGUUUCAGGUACCCAUCCUAAUGCUCAGACCAGUACAUUAGUACAUUCACAGUCCAAUUUGCAAGCACAAAGUUCUGCUACAAACCUGACAACCAUGCCGGGAGUUUCUUUGUCAGCAACUGUAUCACUGCCAGGAGGUUUAAACCCAACCAUAGUUACAUCAGUGUCACAGAGUUCCAUGCAACCAGUUGAGUGUCUUAUGACUCCUAUUGUGUCAUCUGCUUGUGGGAUGCCUCAGGCAGAUGUUAAAAAAGAGAAAAAUGAACGGUACGAAGAAAUGAAAAUGUCUGCUGGUCAAGGAGGUGAUGGAUCCCAACACACAGUUGGGCCACAAAGAGACCUUGUACGUCAAGCACUCCAGGCAGUUGUCACACAUCCUCAACACAAAACUGGUAAUGACCAAGAAGUAAUUGAAUACAACUACACUGCUGGUGAUAUUGCAGAACUGCUGAUGAUGAACAUACAGGUAAAUGCUUCACUCCAGGCAAUGAACAAGAAUACUGUUCCACCAGACACUGAUCCUGGACAAGUGGUUGUUCUACAGCCAGCAGCUGUUGAUGAAACCAAUAGCCUGCAGUCAGAACCAGAAACCCCGAAGCGACGGCGGCCCAGGCUGUCGGAUGAGGCCCAAGUUGAGCGUCGAAUUAGAAUUGCUCUGCGCAUGAGGGAAAAACGAGCUGGAGAAUCAGACGAGCAGAAAAGAUUACGUCGGAUUAGAGAGGCAGAGCGAAUGAGACGUAAAAGAUCAAGUGAGGACGAUUCACAAAAGUUAAGAAGACGACAAGAAGCGGCUAUUCGUGCAAGAAAUCGGCGUGCUUCUAUGUCCCCAGAAGAGCGACUGGUUGACAGGCAGAAAGCUGCAGACCGCAUGAGAUUAAGACGUGCCACGGAAAGUGAUGAACAAAAGGCUGUACGUCGCAUGAAGGCAGCAGAACGAAUGAGGAAAAGAAGAGCAAGUGAAACUGCAGAACAACGUGCUGUAAGGCGACAAAAUAUUGCUCUUAGAAUGAAAGCACGACGUAGGCGAAAAGAUGAAGAGGGUGUAAAUGGUGAAGAGUCAGAAAUUGUGACUCGUAAUUUAAGAACUAGAUUAGUCAAGACUGAAAUUAUUGGGAACAAUGCAGUGCACGAGGGAAGUUCAGAACCCAUUGCAAAUACGAACACUGACCAAGCAACACACAUUUCCCCUUCCCAGCUUGUUACGCCUACGUCGCACAUUCUUGUACCUUCAAGUAUAGGUGUGGGUGGAAGUAUUGCUCUACUGCAUGUGGAUCCCACAUGCAGCAUGUCAUUAGGACAUGGAACGCCUGGGCUGUCCAAUGUAGAUAUGACCCAACUGACUCAACCUUUGCCUCUGCAUAAAUCCGUCACUACAUCACAAAACCAGGCUGAAUGGUAGCUCCCUGAAACUAGGUAGCUCCACACAGAUGAGUCACAUCAGCCUUAGAAGUGGUGAAUGGCCUACCAGGGAUCAGAGCCAGAACCUGACCCCUUCCUCACAGAGGCACAGGGAGCAGGGGAUUGUUACAAUCACCCUCAUCAAAGGAAACAUCAUGAAAGUGAAGCAAUACAGACAACUGCAAGGUUCACAGAGAAAAGAACUGAAGCAGCAAAUGACUGCAAACAAUUCACUAAAUAGUUAGAUCAAACCCAUACCCCCACACCCCCACCACCCCUAGUUAUGGCUGGCCACCAACAGAUGGCAGUUCCAAUGGAAGUUCCCAGCUCCCACAUCAUCAGACUUCAGCCCUGUCUCUGAUGUCUACAAGUGGGGACCUCUCUCCCAGUCGCUGGCUUUGGAAAUGCCUGAGCCAUUAUCACUUCAAAAGCAGGUGGUGAGCCAGCAAUCAUCCCCAACUGCUACGCCAACACCAGUAUCCACAACACACACUAAUAUGACCACCAGUUUGCAUAGUUCACACGAGCCUCUUCC
rnacentral:misc_RNA from 1 species